rnacentral:rRNA from 1 species
AGGCUUAACACAUGCAAGUCGAGCGCCCCGCAAGGGGAGCGGCAGACGGGUGAGUAACGCGUGGGAACGUACCCUUUACUACGGAAUAACGCAGGGAAACUUGUGCUAAUACCGUAUGUGCCCUUCGGGGGAAAGAUUUAUCGGUAAGGGAUCGGCCCGCGUUGGAUUAGCUAGUUGGUGGGGUAAAGGCCUACCAAGGCGACGAUCCAUAGCUGGUCUGAGAGGAUGAUCAGCCACAUUGGGACUGAGACACGGCCCAA